AUUGAACGCUGGCGGCAUGCCUUACACAUGCAAGUCGAACGGCAGCACGGGGCAACCUGGUGGCGAGUGGCGAACGGGUGAGUAAUGCAUCGGAACGUGCCAUUGAGUGGGGGAUAACGUAGCGAAAGUUGCGCUAAUACCGCAUAUUCUGUGAGCAGGAAAGCAGGGGGACCGCAAGGCCUUGCGCUCUUUGAGCGGCCGAUGUCAGAUUAGCUAGUUGGUGAGGUAACGGCUUACCAAGGCGAUGAUCUGUAGCGGGUCUGAGAGGAUGAUCCGCCACACUGGAACUGAGACACGGUCCAGACUCCUACGGGAGGCAGCAGUGGGGAAUUUUGGACAAUGGGCGCAAGCCUGAUCCAGCCAUGCCGCGUGAGUGAAGAAGGCC
rnacentral:rRNA from 1 species